rnacentral:misc_RNA from 1 species
UAAAAAAAGUCGUACAUCUUUGAUGUUACGGAUUUGGGUAUAUCGAUUUUAUAAAUCGAUUACCUAAAAUUAAUAUAUAUAUGUAAUGUGAAGCGUACUAAUUAUAGUCGUUAAUCAUUUUAUAUUUAUUACAUUACAACCAAGUAAUUUAGUUAGUGAUGUAUAAAUUAUGAGAA